rnacentral:lncRNA from 1 species
GCUGACUCGGAACAUGGCUGCACAAUGAGAGUUCUUGGCAGGCGACACCCAGACACCAGAACCAAGCACAGACCCCACGCUGCAACUGGAGAAACAUUUCUGUGGCCGUCCAAAAAAACCCAGAAGCUCCUCUACUUGACAGAUGCCUGCAAAAUGUCAUCAGAACUUUGUGUGGACCUGUUUUGGUCUUUAAGAGAGAAGGUUUCAGCCUCUCAGGAGCAGUGAUUUACAUCCAAGGAGUUCUCUUGGCCCUGCACCAACGACUAAAGUCUGCAAAGUGUAGCAAAGAGGUGAGUUGUCCCAUUCUUUAAAAGUCUGCUUGUCUGUUUUUAUUUUCAAAUAUACUGAUUGU